rnacentral:lncRNA from 1 species
UGUCAUUUUCAGUCUUGGAUCAAGUAGUGUUUCAAGAAGGGUUCUUGAUAAACAAAGGCUGAUGCUGGCAUCUUCCUCCUGUGGGUGGCCAAGUCUCUGCACAUGGCAAUUAUAAUUGCAGUCUGCUAUGAGAGGAGUAUAGAGGAAGCAGUUAGUCAAUAUGGAGACUUAAGAUCUCAGGGUCUCUUUAAAGCUUGAUGGGUGGAUGGACAUGCACAAGAAGAGGUGAAGCUGCCCCCAGGGAAGAGUGGAGAUGAAGAGCUGAACUUUCUUUGGGUCUUUGCCCAGUUUCUGGAGGAGCAGAACUGAUAGAACAUACCUGACUAAGGAGAUUUAUUAGACUGACUUCACAAUAGGGCUGAGUAGUUGAGCACCGAAUGCCUGCAUGCUAAAGGAGCUGAGUACCUGGUAGCUGGAUGCCUUGGCAGUCCCAACCUGUUGCUGUAGGCCUCAGGGAUUCUUGGAGAGCCACAGGUCUUCCAUCCUCGUAAGAAAGCUGCAGAGACUGAGUUCUGAUGACAGGAAAGGAUGGUGGUAGAGGCAGCAACAGGAUAUACACACCAGCAAGAGGUGAAGGUAGGCAGAAGAGAUAGCUCAGUAGUGAAAAGCACUUGUAGAUCUUCCUCCAGAGAACCUGAGUUCAGCUCCCAUUCCCAGUUACCCACAUCAAAUAGCUCAGAAUUAUCUGUAGCUCCAGCUCCGAAUGCACAUACCCAUGCAGAUAUACACCUACACAUUAUAAAAAUAUUAAAAUAAAUCAUUUUUCUUCAAAAAGUGGAGGUGAAGGCAAGUAAACAUCUCUGCCUUUCUAAGGAAAUGUCUGGGCCACUACCAGCAGGUUCUGCCCACUGUGAAGGACAGUCUUUUCCGUUCUGUGAGUCUCUACUGGAAAUGCUUACACACACCCAUUCACAGGUAUGUCUCUUACAUGGUCUAACCAUUUCAGAUCUAAUCAUAUUGACAAUCAAGAUUACCUAUCGAAGGGCUGAAGAGAUUCCUCGGUGGUGCUCUUGUAGGGGACGCUUCUAUUCCCAGCAUCCACAGGGUGGAUCACAACUUGCUGUGGUUCCAGUUCAGGGGAUCUGACACCCCUUUCUGACCUCUGUAAGCAUUUGUGUGAUAUAGACAUAAAUGCAGAAAAACAUACACACACACACACACACACACACACACACACACACACAC